UUAAAUGUACCCUGUCAUUUUUAAUCUCAGGCGCUUGGCACAAUUAGCUCCCAAGGAGCAGGCUCUAUUUACAAAGUCUGCUUCAAGCCAGGAGGACCCAGGCUGCAGCAAGCCCACUGCAGACUCUAGGGCCCUGUGGCGUGGAUGGGUGUGGAUGGAGAAACCUGGUGAUGUAUGCAAAUUAUACUGUCAGGGGCAACUCAGAUGCAUCCUGAGGAUAGUGCCAAGAGGCAUUUUGUGUUACCAGGCCAUGGGCGGUGUCCCCUGAGACAAGAUUCCUGCAGGUCGGAGGUGGGACCGCAGAGUGGCUUGUUCAAUCCUAUUAAAGCAUCAAGCACUCCAAAAGAAGUUUUUAAAUGUUUGCCGUGGGUCUGGAGCCAUGAAAAGCCUUAUUGUUCUACCCAAGAAGACACUGAACUGAGGGUCUGGCGAUGUGCCUGAGGCCACUCAGGGAGUGAGGAAAGCGGAGCAGAGAACCCAAAUGUGAUGCAAAAAUAUCCAAUAAAAGUUUCCACUCAUAAACUUUGGCAGACCACAGGACGAUAUGAAACGAACACCAUUAUGAAGAAUCAAUUAAGAGAGGAGAGGGCCAGAAACAAGAGAUGAACAGCAGGAGCUCAAGGUUCAAGCUCUGCAGACAGAUGGCGGCUCCUCCUUCCCGUGUCUUCUGUGGCUGCCCAUCUUCACAGGAACGUCUCCUUCACUCUGUGACCCAGCAUCAUCCCCGUGGGACUUCAGCUCCUGCAGGGCUGGGCUUGGCCACGUUCACCUUGGUAUCCCAGGGUCUGGAUUCAAGGUCAAGGUCUGGCAUGUAGCAGUUUCCAUGACUUACAAAAAUAAAUAAAUGAUGAAUUGGUAGGAUGUUUGAGUCUUCUGAACUAGACCAAGGGAGCUCAUGUAACCAGGAAUCCCUGCUAGUUCUCCAACUGUAUUAAAAAUAAAAACACCAGCGAGACAUAUGGGGCCAUUUGCUGUCAGCCUGUGGUUCAUUUUAUCAUGGGAAAGUCACAUGAGCCUGGAGCCUCAGCCCCCGCUGUUUGGAGCAUGUCCUCAGCCCCAUCAAGAGGAUUCCCCCCAGUAAUUGCAGGGUAAAUGACUUGUUAAAUCCGGAGCCCUGACAAUACAUCUCUCGACAUGCAGUUCAUAUUCCUUGGGCAGCUCAUCGCACUUUCGGGUAGUACAUAUUUUAU